rnacentral:lncRNA from 1 species
GGUGCGCGGGCCUCGGCCAGGCCUGAGAUGCCGGGAGGGUUUGACCCUGGGGCUGCAUGGACAGCUUAGCGCUCGGCCGCUGGCGACAGCGGAGGGCGGAGGAUCUGCAGGUUCCGGGGGACGUGGUGAGCCCCCGGGGCCUGGGCGUUAGGGACGGGAGGGCGGAUGGCCCCUGGGCGGGUUCCCACCGCGCCUCGUUUUUGCCGGCGCGGCCCUGCCUGUGAGGAGGCCUGGCCCAAGACACUCGCACGCUCGCGUACGUCCCUGGGAGGGCGUGGCCUGUUAGGGCGGGGUUGUGACGCCGCUCUCCCGGUUUCGCGCCUGCGCGGUCGGGCGCGGAGCUCGGGCACCUUCCUGACCCACACGCUCACUGGGGCUCCAGACCCAGGCUCCCUAAAACAUGGGCCGAGACUCAUUGCAGGACCUCGGGUGCUUGGUAUCCGUGUCAUGUCUUCUCCUGCCGUCUACACCUGACUGUUCCUGAGUCUCGUUCACUGAGCGCCUGCCACGUGCCAGGCCCAGGGCUGGGCAGGUUACCCCAGUAAUAUAGUAAUAAUAUGGUAUAGUAAUGUAGUAUAGUAAUAGUAUAGUACAGUAAUAUAGCAGGUUAGGGUGCUUUUGUAACCAAGAGCCUUCAAAGCACGCUGGCCCUAACAAGAUGGAAGUUUGAUUCUCCUGCACAGAACAGCAUGGACGUGAGCAGUCCAGUGGGGUGGAGCCCAGGGUCACUAAAUAUAGGCGUAGGGCUGGUGGUACCCAGAUCAGGGGAUAUGCGGGGACCUAAGUUCCUUCCCCUCACACCAUCCCCUGGGUGUCACCCUCCUCUGCAUAGCCAAGGGUGGCUCACUGCUACUGUGCUACCAGAUGGCAGAAAAACAAACAGAAAAGUGACAUGAUUAUGCUGAUGUGUUGAGACCUUACUUCACUGCCCUGGAAAAUGAAAGGUGUGAUCAGGGUGCAGGCAGGGAGGCAAGGCUUGUGGCUACAGUAGUGUGUCAGAGGAGAAGUGGCAGAGGUUUGCACAAGAGAGGGCAGUGGGGUGGUGACACUAGAGAGACGUGACUGUGUAGAGGGAGAGAUGUGAUUUUCUUUAUCAUUUAGAACUUGUUCUGCAUGUACUUUGGAGUCUUCAAAUGUUAUUUUCUGUUUAUUAAGUUCAUUCACUUGUUCGUUCCAUACUUCAGCUUCUUGCAAAAGCUGUUUCUGGCUUUCCUGAAGGUGAGAGUUUUCAUUCAAAGCAUCUUUUAUUGCUAUCUUCAGUUGUUUCUCAGUCAUUUUAAAUCUCUUGAAGAUCAUUUUGGCUUCAGCUACUUGUGAUUUGAGGGAUUCUGACUCAUCUGCUAGAGGCUGUAUCGUUUUUGAAAUAUCCGCCAUCAAUUCAUUUUGUUGCGAAUGUUUAGAUUUCUCUUCUUUUAACUCUUUUUCUAGACAGAGAAUUUCAUGCUCAAGUUCAGAAUUGGACCUGUUCAACUUUUCACAGGUUGCCUCCAAACUUCGUGCUUCUGCUGCCGCCUUCUCAAAGCUGGCAUCCUCUAACGAUGACGCUACUUCAUAGUCUUCAUACUCUUUUUGAACAAGGCUAAAUUUUUCAAGUAGUUUACAUUUUUCUUCAAUUAGUCCAGAAAGCAUUAUAGCAAGCUUUUUCUCUCUUCCCACAUAAAGCCGACUCCUAACCGAUCUAAAACUUCUCCACAGAAAAAGGAGAACAGCAAAAAAUGCAGCAACAGCUGCACAUAUCACCAUUUCCCAUGGAAAACCAUGAGGAUUCGAAUCCAGUCUCAUACUUUCAGGCAGCGACAUGUUUUGAGCGCCUGCUGUGUCUCAAGCCCUGUCCUAGGCACUGGAGAUGAGAUGAAGAAACGAUGAGUAGAGGCCUUGCUUACGUUUAUCCUGCAACUCAUGAUGAGGCUUACUCUGCAACUCCAGUGCUCGGCUUUUUACACAACAGAGUCUCUGUUGCCCAGGCUGGAGUACAGUCGCACGAUCUUGGCUCACUGCAACCUCUGCCUCUCAGGUUCGAGUGAUUCUUCUGCCUCAGCCUCCCAAGUUGCUGGGAUUACAGGUAUGCUGGAGUUUGCUGGAGGUCCACUCCAGACCCUGUUUGUCUGGGUAUCACCAGCAGAGGCUGCAGAACACCAAAGAUUGCUGCCUGUUCCUUCUUCUGGAAGCUUCGUCCCAGAGGGGCACCUGCCAGAUGCCAGCUGGAGCUCUCCUCUAUGAGAAACGGGUAUGCAGGAGAUUAGAAGCCAGUGGGCAUGAGCGUGGCUGCCACCAGGUGAAUGCCUGUGCCCUGGCGUCCUGGGGCCCAGAGGACCGGGAGCUUCCAUCAAGAGGCUGCCUCCCAGCACCAAGGCCAGAGAGUGGCCAGGGGAGGCUAAGUACAGGGUAGAUUUCUCAGAAUGGUGGAAGGAGCUCAGCCCAGCCUUGCCCAAGAUGUAUUGCAGGGGAAUCUGUAAGUGCAUUAACCUUCUUGCUGUGACAUAAAAGAUAGACUUCUUCUUAAAUAUUAGAUCCAUAAAACAAAGUUAAUAAAAACUGCAAUUAUGUUUCUGAAGAAUGAGGAACAUAAAUAAAAAGGUGAAAAAAAAAAGAAACAAUGGACAUAAGAAUUGGAAAGAGAAAAAUCUAAAUUGUUAUUUCCAGAUGGUAUAAUUAUCUACAUAGAAUAUCCAAGGCUGACCACAGUGACUCAUGCUUAUAAUCCCAGCACUUUGGGAGGCUGAGACAGGAGGAUUGCCUGAGCCCAGUAGUUGGAGGCUGCAGUGAGCUAUGAUUAUGCCACUGUACUCCAUCCCAGGCAGCAGGGUGAGACCCCAUCUCUUACUGGUACAGAAGGGUGCACGCCCACUUUCAAGUGUUGACGCCUCCAAGAAGGAAGGGAGGAAGAUGAGGCAAGGGUGUGACAGGUGUCCCUCGGCACAGGGCACAGCAGGUGCUCUAAAGACAUUUCAUCAUACAAAGAUGCAUGCUGGUAAAGACGGAUGAUUGUCUUAGAGGUCCAAGCUUUUACUGUAGGCCUUUGUAGAAUUCUCUUGAGAAGGGACAGUGUUUUGUGGUAGUAAAGACGAAUAUGCUGUUAAAGGAAGAAAAAAUGACUCCUCUGGCAGAUGGUAAUGGCAGGAAUCGUCAACAUCUUUAACCCACAGAGGGCUGCUGUCAUCCUGUCACACAGGUACUCGGGGAGAAGCAGAGAGCUAGCCACAGCCAGGGCUCUGCCCAUUAAGGAAAAAUGGCUUCAGCAAAAAGGGAAGGAGAUGUGGGGUGCAGUUCUCUCCUCCCCCAGUCCACAGGGAUGACUUGCAGCCUGCUGCCUCCUGGGUCUGCGCACCCCACGGCACCUCCAAGUGAGCCUCCCAGGCUUCCACUGACUCUGCCCCUUCAGUGCACAGCCCAGAGCCGUGAUUUGCCAGCUGGGCUCCUGCGUUCAGAGUCUCCCAACAGAACAGGUUCUUGUCCAGAGAAGUUCAGGAAAUGCUACAUACUUUCCCCUGCCUUUUAGAGACUUGAUGUCCAUUAGACUGUGAAAGACCUCGAGAAUUGCAUGAAGAAACUGGUUUCCAAAAUGUCCUUUUGUAAAGGGAUACCUGCUACACAUGUGAUUCUGGGAAUAUUCUGGGAAGCGCAGGCCUGUUGAGUAAAUGCAGCACCUGUAUUCACCAUGGCAUCCAGGGCCCUUCAAAUCUCAGUGUUGCUUGACCUCCCAGACAGCUGCUCCCAUCCCUGCCAUGUGCGCCACAAGCCCCUGCUCCAGCCGCCACAGCUUCUCCGAUCCUGGAACAGUCUGACCUUGUACUGUGCUUACUGCUUGAGGUAUACCUUCCCACCUCCAAAGAUUCUCUUGCUCCUUCGUGGCCCACCCGAGAUUCCUGUCUUGUGUGAAGCCUUCUUCAGGCCCCUCACCAGGUAGGGUCACGUGCUGUCUUCCCUGGCUCCUGUAGCAUUUCGUUCUGAUCACUCGAAGGAGCCAUCAGUAUCUGACGUCAGUACUCUGAGGGACAUUUUAGCCAUACCAAGAAUCAUUAGAAGAUGCAAGCUGGAAAAAAGAAGGUCCCAGUUUUGGUUUUGAACCCUUCAUGUUGCAGCAAAUGUGAAUCUCCUACAGAUGGGUUUGGGGACUUACCUGUUCAAAUAGCAGCCCGGUGUCCUCUGUGGGUGGGGGGAGGUUUGUCUGUCCUUUCAUUCUAGUAAAUCCACCAUCCUCUGCACGAGAGCCAGGAGAAUCCACAUCACUUCAAAAGAGCCCCCAAAUCCUUACUACGUACUACAGCCUCCUUUCGAAUGUUCCUGGUUGAGAGGGAGAUCAAUUGCAUUAUUUACAAGUCAAAAAAUUUUGUAUCAAACUUCCUAUGAGCUUGGGCACUCAUGGCCUAUGGAGGCCCACCCAGACGCAGCCCCGCCAUCAUGCUUUUUCGUUGUUUUGUGGAUGUACCCAGGGCUAUUUACACACUCUUUCAUUAAAAGGCUUAUUUUUAUAUUUAAAAUGCAUCUUUUCCAUUGACUGUCCAUUCCAUUUUUAUCAUACAUGGUGUAGUUUCUUUACUUGCUUCUCUGUUCUUUGAUCUUUCUCAUGCAUUGGCCAUAACAUUGUGCAUGUGUGUGGGUGGCCUUUUUAUUAAAAUAUAACACACAUGCAGAAGAGCGAAUAAAUGUGUGCCC